rnacentral:lncRNA from 10 species
CAGAGCUCAUAAUCUGCCUGACCCUGUGGUUUUUUUUUUUUUUUUUUAAACAGGGAAAACACUCCCUUGGGGUCAAAUCAUGGGAGCCAGGUUAUCAGAGUUCUUUACUUAAUCGUCCUGUUCUUAGGUUGAAAAUCAAAAAUUGUAAUGCCAAAAUUUGUAAAGUACUGAUUUGUAUAGGCUACUACAUUCUUCAAUUGAUGGCUAGCAAAUCAAUUCAACCAAACUCUAGAACAUACUUGACUUUAGACUACUGCAUAGGACUAAUCUUGAGUACCCAACCAAAAAAAAAAAAUCAGAUGGAUAAUCAGGGUCACUAAUCUACUCUUAUCUCAACUGUGACUUUGAAUAUGGUGAUGAAGAUAUGAACAGGGAUAUGCUACUAAAUCCAGAUUAAUGGGAGUGAACCAGAUGCUUUCGCAGAGGCAUUGAGGAAGAGAACAGGCUCUUCUACUGAGUUGCUAAGGAAAGAACAACUAAGAGGUGGAGUCUCUAGAUUUGCCCAUCUGCAUCUGUCUGAUCCACUCCACAGGAAGGCAAGAAAACAGGGGUCCCAGGAAUCUUCUGCCCUUCUGCCCAUGACUCUGCCUGCACCAGACGACACUUACUGGUGUUCACUCAAGCACAGUGUACGUAAACUUUUUGGUGUAAAGCAUGUGUAUUAGUCCGUUUCCAUACUGCUGAUAAAGACACACCUGAGACUGGGUAAUUUAUAAAGAAAAAGAGGUAUAAUGGAUUCACAGUUCCACUUUGCUGAAGAAGCCUCACAAUCAUGAUGGAAGGUGAAAGGCAUGUCUUACAUGGUGGCCAGCAAAAGAAAAUGAGAGCCAAGUGAAAAGGGAAACCCCUUAUAAAACCAUCAGAUCUCAGGAGACUUAUUCACUACCACAAGAACAGUAUGCGAGAAACUGUCCCCAUUGAUUCAAUUAUCUCCCACUGGGGCCCUCCCACAACAUGUGGGAAUCAUGGGAGCUCUAAUUCAAGAUGAUAUUUGGGUGGGGACACUAUCAAACCAUAUCAGCAUAGAGGGCAGAUAAUAUGGUUUAAUAAAUGUUAGAUAAUUAUCAGUUUAAUUUUCAUGACCAUUUACCUCAAACAUACAAUGCUCCAUAAAUGCAGGCUGCUAUAAAUAUUAGCAUGAGAUCACUUAGUCACCACGCCCUCAUAGCGAACCUUGGUAAGGUCCAUGAAAUCCAAAGACUGUUUUCAUUGGAACUCAUGAAACAACUAAUGUUUGCCCCUGACCUCCCAGAAAAUAUUCAGAUCCAAAUAUUUGGAACUAAAUUGAGGUAAAGGUUUUUUUUUAAUGUCAUGAAUGCUACCCAAACCAGGAACAAUUAAACUUGGUAUAUGUUGCUGUAUGUACCUUCUGUAUGGUAGUACUCAAUAUGAGCUUGGCUAAGCAAAGCAGAGAUUUCUCUUUUACAACAAUUAUUGAGCACUGAUUAUGUACAAUAUUCUAAGUGUAAUAUAUAAUUGAUAUCUAGGUGGUUCUAAUUUUGGUAUGUGAGGAAAGUUAUUUCAAAAUACAUAGAGAUAAUUUUCUAGACCUAAAGAAAUAAUUUUAAGUGACCAGUUUUUCUCCCUUUCUGUAAAUAUGUAUAUGAAUAUUUUUGCUUCUGUUGGUGAAAAUUUUAUCAAGUUAAGAAAAAUUUUAGCAAAUUAUGUGUCAUUUAAUAUGCCCUGAGUUACAUGUCAAUUUUUGCUUAAAUUACUGUGAAAUUACUUAGUCUUUGUCUUGAAGGUAAACAAAUUUCUUUAGAACUUUCCCAAUGCCAAAUGAAACUUCAGAUGUGUUUCCUCAUUCCCAUCCCACCGCCUAAGUUGGGAAGAAAGAAAAAACAGAUAGGAAAAACAAAACAAAAAUGUUUUUAAAAUCUGAAGUGGUGGGUCAGUAUAUGCAUAAAACAAUGCUCUUUCCACUAAGUCAAUAGGUUUCUUAGACUCAGAAAUGUAGCUGAGAGAAUACAAAGACUUAUGAAACAGUUUGGGCUCAAGGUCUGGCAUUAUUUGUUAAUAGUCAAAUAUUUCUUAAGGUUAUAGGGUAGAAAUGCUAAUUUAAUUUAUUUCUAAGCAGAAUCCAUUGGAAACAAGAAGCUUGCACAGUGAAUUUAAUAGUCUUCUGAGACUUUGGGUCCUGGAGUUUUCAGCAUCAACAAUACUAGGCACAGGUGUUUACGAAUAAACAAAAAUAUGUGCUUAUACAUUCACAGUGAAAUUUGGUGUCUUCAUUGACCUGAUGUUUACUGAAGACAUUAUACUUUAAAGCUUUUUAAGUCCAAACAGUUUCUCAUAAGUUGGGCCACUUGUCCUGGGUAUGUUUGGUUGACUUCACUGAUGUUAGAACUGCCGUUUUUAAUUUUGUCAUCACGGUGGAAGAGAUUUCAACCUCUUAGAGCCAAAUGCCUUUUUUUCUCCCAUGAAUUUAUUGCGUUCUUAUUUUCUGUUUUAUUUCAAAUUGAAAGUAAAGACAAAAUUAGAGACAUAAGUAAAACAUCCAAGGAAGUCAAGCAUUCAAAAAAUGUUUAUUGCAACACCUUUAUUCCUCUGUAUUUAACCCCUAAGAUGAGUUUAUAUCCUGCCAGUGGACGUUUCUAAAUGUAUAGUACUGGAAUUACAUAUUUUCUUAUUAUUUUUUCUUGAAAAAUGCAGGAAGGAUGGCUAUAUUUGUAUAUAUUGCUUCAGUUCCAGAAGCAACACUUGAUAUUUUGGCAUCUGAUAAGCCACUUUUGUUGUAACCAAAAUAGUAAUAAUUUAUAGUCCUAAAACCAUGUUCCAAAAAUAGAUUUUCCACACAGAAGCAUUUUAAGAGAGGCUCAUUUUUUGAGAUCCUCUUUUUAUAUUCACUUAUAUUGAUCCUUUAAAAUUAUUUAUGCUAAAAUAAUAAUUGGGGAAGAACUGACUAACUGAUAGCAAUUUGAGAGGAACAAAGGUAAAAAUAAUAAUGAAAUGCAGAGGUGGAGGCCAAUGAAAAUUGAAUCCAGCUACUGUGCUAUAAUCUUUGCAUUUGAUAAUUUUGUUUACAGUAUAAAAGAGUAUUUCAAGGAUCCUCACAUGGACAGAAAUGUGGAAUAAAAGCUAUGCUGUAAAAUUUUCUUGAAACUAAAUAUGUAGGAUAAAAUAAAUUUUUAUUUAACACUUUAGCAGGAUAUACAAAUAUUGAAUAAUUAGAUUUCAGACUGAGUAAUCAGAUUGUAAAAUAAAUCAUGAGAUGCUUCUAUAGAGCACCUUUCAGAUGCUUUUGUAAAGAGAAGAGUAUGAGGAAACCACAUUUUCAUAUAUUUAAAUGCCUUACUUUACAAAUGAGUGAAUACUUUGCUAUUGCCAUACUUAGG